AGCGAGGGCGUCGGCCAUUUUGUGUCUGUUUCCUGUGGGACGCGGUGGUGGCGGUUGGGUCUGAGGAGUGAGCGCUUUUCGCCUCGAUUUUCCUGCUUACUUUCUCCUCCGUUUUCACUUCGUCAGUGGAGCGCAGCGAUGGGUCGCAAGAAGAAGAAGCAGCUGAAGCCGUGGUGCUGGUAUUGUAAUAGAGAUUUUGAUGAUGAGAAGAUCCUUAUACAGCACCAAAAAGCAAAACAUUUUAAAUGCCAUAUAUGUCAUAAGAAGUUGUACACAGGACCCGGCUUGGCUAUACAUUGCAUGCAGGUGCAUAAAGAGACAAUAGAUGCUGUACCAAAUGCAAUACCUGGGAGAACAGACAUAGAGUUGGAAAUAUAUGGUAUGGAAGGUAUUCCAGAAAAAGACAUGGAUGAAAGAAGAAGACUUCUUGAACAGAAAACACAGGAGAGUCAAAAAAAGAAGCAGCAAGAUGAUUCUGAUGAAUAUGAUGAUGACGACUCUGCAGCUUCAACUUCAUUUCAACCACAGCCUGUUCAACCCCAACAAGGCUAUAUACCCCCAAUGGCACAGCCAGGACUACCACCAGUUCCGGGAGCACCAGGAAUGCCUCCAGGCAUACCUCCAUUAAUGCCAGGUGUUCCUCCUCUGAUGCCAGGAAUGCCACCAGUUAUGCCAGGCAUGCCACCUGGAUUGCAUCAUCAGAGAAAAUACACCCAGUCAUUUUGCGGUGAAAACAUAAUGAUGCCAAUGGGUGGAAUGAUGCCACCUGGACCAGGAAUACCACCUCUAAUGCCUGGUAUGCCACCAGGUAUGCCCCCUCCUGUUCCACGUCCUGGAAUUCCGCCAAUGACUCAAGCACAGGCUGUUUCAGCACCAGGUAUUCUUAAUAGACCACCUGCACCAACAGCAACAGUUCCUGCUCCACAGCCUCCAGUUACUAAGCCUCUUUUCCCCAGUGCCGGACAGAUGGGGACACCUGUAACAAGCUCAAGUACAGCUUCAUCCAAUUCAGAAAGUCUGUCUGCAUCUUCUAAAGCUCUGUUUCCUAGCACAGCACAAGCUCAGGCAGCUGUCCAAGGACCUGUUGGUACAGAUUUCAAGCCCUUAAGUAGUACCCCUGCAACAACUACAGAACCCCCGAAGCCUACAUUCCCUGCUUAUACACAGUCUACAGCUUCAACCACUAGUACAACAAAUAGCACUGCAGCUAAACCAGCGGCAUCAAUAACAAGUAAGCCUGCUACUCUUACAACAACCAGUGCAACCAGUAAGUUGAUCCAUCCAGAUGAGGAUAUAUCGUUGGAAGAAAGAAGGGCACAGUUACCUAAAUAUCAACGUAAUCUUCCUCGUCCAGGACAGACUCCCAUUGGUAAUCCACCAGUUGGACCAAUUGGAGCUAUGAUGCCACCACAGCCAGGCAUCCCACAACAACAAGGAAUGAGACCCCCAAUGCCACCUCAUGGUCAGUAUGGUGGUCAUCAUCAAGGCAUGCCAGGUUACCUUCCUGGUGCUAUGCCACCAUAUGGGCAGGGACCGCCAAUGGUGCCCCCUUAUCAAGGUGGGCCUCCUCGACCUCCGAUGGGAAUGAGACCUCCUGUAAUGUCGCAAGGUGGCCGUUACUGAUCUCGCUUCAUCCAAUCUAAUAGGUUUUUAGAAGUGAAGUAUAGUAAAUUUGGUUCGUUAUAUUGUGAAGGCGCUGGAAUUUCAUGAACAUACCACCUUAAUAAAGUCAGAGUGAAAAGAUUUGCAGCAUUAUUUCCCAGCCUCUACUCAUAAAACAACGCUGCUUAACUACCCAAGUGAUGCAACAGAAGAGUUAAUAAAGUCCUGUAAGUUUGAAUUAAAAACAUAAAAGGGCGUGUAGUGAGUGAGCAAAGCCUCCCUUUUAGCUAUUAGUUCUGUGUACUUCCAGGAGAAGAAAUAGAAUUUACUUUUCAGCCCAUAUAAUUUAAAAUCUUUAAGUUUAACAUAAAGUGAAAUCAAUUUUUUGAAAAAUUGAAUUAGUGUUAAAUUGCCUUUGUGGGGUGUGUCUACAUAUACCUAAAUUAAGAAAUUAUCACAUUUAAGUGAUCUCCCCCACCCCCAACCCCGCUGGAUAUAGGCCCCUCCCCUUUUAGAAUAAGAAAAAUUUCCACAUAAUACACAAUAUGUUUUAUUAAAAUUCAGCUAUGUCCAAAAGAUAGUGUUAUUAAUUCAUUCUCUUAAGGUCACUACAUUUAAUAGCCAAUGUAAGAUAAUUUUUGUAAGAUGUAGGGAAAAUUUUUUUUAAUGUAUUAAUGUCAGGGUCUGAGGAAAUUUAAUGCACAUUGACUUUUUAAAGUAUGGGUUGAACUCCUCAGUUUAAUACAAUUUGUGUUUUUGUUAACUAGCAGCAGAAUUUCAGCAUUUGCUACUUACUGGUAGAGAAGAAAAACCCCACAGCCCUGCCAGUACAGGUUAGUUUAAUCUGUAAGUACCUGAUAUUCCUAUUUUUUUUUUCAAACAUAUCCACAUAACCCACACAAGGAAGAAAGCUGCAGUUGCUUAAAUGUGAGUAUGACUAAUAAUAGACCCAUUGGACACUUUCAGACACUCUACUUGGGCAAAUUAUUAGCUUUAGGUUUGCUAACCUCCAUUGUAAUAGAGGGUAAUACUACUCCUUUAUUAUUUGGUUGUGGUUGAACCUAAAUAGAUAUAUUGUACAUAAAAGGAAAAGACAGUGAAAGUUUCUAUUAGCUAUAUGCUAAUUUUGGUAUGUCAUAUGGAAUGCAGGGCUUGGAUCCAGGGUCUUUUACUUAAGUCACUUCUGUGGUGGUAUUUUAUUUACCUUUCAACUUUUUACAGUAUGAAUCAACCCAAAAAGUUUCCUCACCUUUAGCAAUGAUAAAUGGUGGGUUUUUUAGCUCAUAAAAAGUUUUAGUAAUUUGCUGUAAAUAAGUACUAAUUUUGUUCAUUUUUUGUAAACUAGAACCUAUUCUGUUGGUGCACCACCAUGAUGGGUUUAUUUUACUUUGAACCAAAAAUAACAAACCUUACUUUUUAAAUAUUCAAAUGAAAGCUGACUACCCAUCAAGAAAUCUAGGUGGAUUCUCCAUAUGUUUCUUUUGAGGAGCAGAGAUGUAAUGGAUUGUAAAAGAUGUUCAAGUUUUUAUUAUUGUUUUUAUUGGUCUACUAUAGUUUAUUGUUGCCUUGAACCAUCCGUGAGAAAUAUCCUUUAACCUUUAAAUACUGUACUCUUAUGUUGAUAAAAAUUUAAAAUACCAAGAUGAAGAAUAAAGCAUGCAGCUUAGCUUUUAUGAAAGCCUGAACCAUCCUUCCAGUUUGUAGCAUUGAUGGAUUCAUGGCUUCCUCCUUUACACCGAAGUGUAAUGUUGUCUAAUUUGAUUGAGACAGUCCACCCAUAAAAGCAACUAGGAUGGUGAUCAACAUUCAGUUAAAUUUUUUUAAAGCCUCAAUUUAUCAACUGAUGAAAAAAUAUAUAUUUUAUAAGGUAUCCACUUGGUUUUUAAUACAAAAUUACCUAAGGGCUUAAGUUUCAUUGCCUUUCACAGUUAAAACUGUAUAAGAAAUGGUGUAGAUGCAGUGGAAAUGGUUUUCCUUAAAACCAUCUCUUUAAAGCUGCCAUUCUGG